rnacentral:rRNA from 1 species
UCCUACGGGAGGCAGCAGUAGGGAAUAUUGGACAAUGGGGGCAACCCUGAUCCAGCAAUGCCGCGUGAGUGAUGAAGGCCUUAGGGUUGUAAAGCUCUUUUACCCGAGAUGAUAAUGACAGUAUCGGGAGAAUAAGCUCCGGCUAACUCCGUGCCAGCAGCCGCGGUA